rnacentral:rRNA from 1 species
AUGGUUAGCCGCAACCAAAACGCUUUCAUCCCGGGACGGAGCCUGCACGACAACUUUGCCCUCGUCAAGCAAUCGAUGAAGCUGCUGCACCAACUAGGAGUCCUGAGAGUGAUGCUCAAGCUUGACCUAACGCGAGCCUUCGACUCCCUAUCUUGGCCCUUCCUCUUUGAGGUUCUUGGCGAGUACGGAUUCAGACCUCGCUUCAGGGAAUGGCUUGCGAUCUUGCUAUCAUCAUCGAGCACUCAAAUCAUGAUCAAUGGUGAGCCGGGACUGCCAAUUUGGCACAGCUGCGGGCUGCGUCAGGGCGACUCCGUAUCAUCGCAGCUCUUCGUGCUCGCCGUGGACAUCCUUGGGCGCCUGAUCAGCCGCGCCCACGACGCCGGCAUCCUAGAGCGGCUGCACCCCCGACGUGACAUUCCGGCCAUAUCUUUGUACGCCGAUGACGUGAUGCUCUUCUGCCAUACCACGCAAGGCGACGUGGAGGCCGUCCGUGGGAUCCUGAACCUGUUUAGUGAAGCAAGCGACCUCCGAGUGAACUAUACCACGAGUUCUGCUACUACCCUCAAUGGUGACCCCGAGGCGGAUGCUAUAAUUGCUCAGGUGGGAUGUGCGAAAGCGAAGCUGCCCAUUACUUAUCUCGGGAUCCCGCUCACGCUACGCUGCCUCUCUGCCGCCCAACUACAACCCCUCGUCGACUCGGUGGCCGCCCAGCUCCCCACUUGGAAAGCUUGGCUCAUGAACAAAACCGGGCGGCUGGUUUUGGUCAAAUCGGUGCUCGCCGCAAUCCCGAUACAUAAACUGCCCGCGUUUGCGCCACCCAAGAAGACCCUGAGGCAGCUCGAAAAGAUCCAGUGCGGCUUCUUGUGGGCUGGGCGCGCUGCUGCUAACGGCGGACACUGUCACGUCAACUGGCGCCGUGUGUGCCGUCCGCUUGAGUACGGCGGGCUGGGGGUCCAGGACCUGGAGCGCGCUGGCCUCGCGUUGCGCCUGCGCUGGCUGUGGUUCUCCCACACGGACGCCUACCGCGCAUGGCAUGGGCUCGACCUCCAAUUUUCCCGCGAGAAGCGCACGUUGUUCUUCGCAUCGACGACCAUGGCGCUUGGCGAUGGAUUGACGACACUGCUUUGGGAUGACAGAUGGCUCAACGGUCAGUCCGUGCGUGAACUCGCACCGACACUCUACCAGUGCAUACCCAAACGGCGACGCAAAUCAAGAACGGUGGCCGCAGGCCUUGCGUGCAACGCUUGGGCUCGUGACAUUCAAGGAGUGCUCGGGAUUCAUGAGAUUGGCCAAUACCUGAUGCUAUGGCAGGCCGUGCAGCAGAUCAGCUUAACACACAUGCCUGACCGAAUGAUAUGGAGAUGGACUGCAAGUGGCACCUACACGGCAUAG